rnacentral:lncRNA from 1 species
CUGCCUGUGGACAUGUUGGGUGGGGGUGAGUAAAUGUUUGGGUGUAGAAUUGUAAAUUAAUUAAUGGGUGGCAUAGAAUGGGGUGGGUGAGGUGAGCCAUCAAUGUAUCAAAUUCGUUUCGUCAUGCAUGGUAUGAUUAAUCACACUGACGAAACCGCCAUGGAUGAUGGAUGAGAGAGCAUGGAGUGUCUCUAGUGUUUGGCCAUCUACCAUGCCCAAUUUUGCCAGUGGAAUUUGUUUUGUUUCUGCUGAAUUAUGGAGAUGUGGGGUCCAGUUAUACGCGGGCGGGAGGGCAGGAGCAUAUAGCACUUGCCGACUAGCUUUGACUCUUGGUUCAAAACAACAUCACGUCACGUCCUUCCUCUCACCGUCACGACUCACUUUGUUUAGCUUUUGGUUCUUGGGAGACUUUGAAAAAAACUAAAGAGAGAAGUUUUUUAAAAGAAGUUGAAAUUGAUAAAAGUGCUCUUAUUUAUUUUUUAAUUUUUUUAAGGAAUUUUUUAUAUUUGUAUGUAUUUUAGUUUGAAAAUUGAGAGAUUUUUCUGUAUUUUUUGAAAUUUUUUUGCUUUUUUCAAAAGUUUUUUUUUUUCCUAAAACCUAAACCUAAAUUUACUUUGGUUGUUUCGUUUCAGUAUUUAGCUUUUUAAAUUGAGUAAUGCUAUUUAGACACACAACAUUGACCACCUUAACUGACCACCUUAUGUGGCAACUGAUGUGUCAUGCCAUAUCAAUUAAUGAAUGUCGUCAUGUCAAUUCAAAAACAAAUUAAAAAACCCUAGCAUUCCUAGUGAGUGGCCUCAUAGUAGCAUUCAUUAAUUGACAUGGCAUGGUCAGUUAAGGUGGUCAAUGUUGUGUGUCCAAAUAGCAUAACUCUUUUAAAUUUAUUAUUUCAUGGUAUUUAUUUAUGGAUUUUAACCCUGACCUCACUUUUGCCUCAUGUGGCCACUUCCACUGCGGAAGGCAUUCCCGAGCAGGGGGGCCCAACGGCCAAAUUGCAACUCCAGCGCGCCAAGUCUAGCUCAGGUGAGGGGUCGGUCUUACGAGCCCAGGCAAGUCCACUAAUAAUUUCAAUCCAAGCCGUUAUUUGGAUAAAAUAACACAAUGCUAACAUCAGCAACUAAAAAAAAUUUAAAAAAAAAUUCCACAAUUUUUUUAAAUAAAUAUUUAGCCAUAUUAUUUACUUCCCACACUAAAAACUCUAUACAAAUUCAUUUCCUUAUAUCUCAUGUGAAUAAUAAUUAUCCUUGGCCUAUUCGGUGGAAACAAAAUUACAGGGACGACCACUAUUCAUGUAAAUAGUGACAGCCCUUUUCUUACCCAUACCUUAGGCCCUAUUUGGUUCAUGGGAAAGGAGACUUGUGAAUGGGAAAUCAAUUGCUUUCCCAUGUUUAGUAAGUUUAGGUAUGAGAAAUCGUUACCUGGCUCAUGGGAAAGUUUGGGAAAAUGAGUUAACAUUAAAUACAUAUUUUUUAUGACCAUUUUAUCCCCAUUAAUAAUUUAGAAUUACAAUAUAUGAUUAAAUGCAUUUUUUUAAUUUGAUUUAAUAUAGGCAUAAUUAAAAAUUUAUACAAACUUUGUUUUCAAUUCAUACUCAAAACAAACAUAAGAAAGGAAAUAAAGUGAUAUUUCCCUGUUACUUUCCCAACAUUACCAAACGUGGAAAAUAAAUCUUCCAUUCUUAAUCCUUGGAGAAUGACAUGGAAAAUAAUUUUCUUUCAAAUUCAUUCAAUGAACCAAACAGGGCCUAAGGGUGGAAAUACUCUUAGAAAUUUGUGCUUCUAAAUUUGCAUUACUGAGAAGAUGACUGCCCAGCUACUGUCCAGCUCAGCGUAUUAGCUCUCGUACUGGAAAUUGACAAAUCUUAAAGCCUCUCAUUUUCCCACCGUCCUAUUUAAAACCUCAAAUCAAUAAAAAAGCAGCAGGAUGGAUGAUUCAUGAUGGAUGAUUCAUGAUUGUGUAAGUAAAAGUUCAACCCCUUUCUUAAUAUCAUCCCUCUCGUUUAAUCAGACAACCAAAACACUCCAAAAUAUGAUGUGGACAAAACGCAACGGCCCGGCAACUUUCUGAGGCCCAAUGGGCUUCCCAGCCUCCGCUACUUUAGAACAUACUCAAGCCCUAAAUCUUUUUUGUCCAUUUCUGAUUGGCAAUCAUUCAUCACAUCAACCUAACCCGCACUUUAUUAUAAAAGUUAAACCAAGUUGGUUAAAGUGAAUAGGGUUUAGAUUAAAUAAAAAUUAAAUAUUAUUCGAAUUUAAAAAAAUAUUAAACUAAACCAAAUUUAUUGAUGAAUAGAUGAUUUCAGACAAAAAUACCUACCGAAUUCCAUUAUAAAUUAAGUGGUAAUUUAUAACUUGUAUUUUCCAACAUACUAGGUUACAAAAAAGUAGUGUUUCCAAUACAUUUGGGGACACGAUUACAACACAAAUGAAACAAGCUUAUGAUUACUCCUCAAGAAACAACUGCGUGUAGCGAAGAGGUUCUGUUCUUUGGCAAAUUCACUGCAUCUGAAUUCAGCUCAAAGUAUAUAAUUAUUAUUCAACAAAAGAAUCAAAUCAUAAAAUUUAACUUAAAAUGACAAACACAAAUGUAUAUGGCGCUCAGAAUGGGUGCAUAUCAUAUCAUGGAUUAUCUCAUAUGUCCAGACAUAAAUUAGAGCAACCUCAUCAUAGCAGCCAGUCUCCCAAUGCACAAAUCUAGAAACCCUAAUGCAAACACAUUACACAAGAAAAACAAUGCAAACAACUAGAAUUAUACAAAAUUCAAAGAUCCUCAGAGCCAUUCCACAAGUGGAAGUUGCAGACAAUCUACAUAGCAUCAGAUUCUGUCCGCCCGUCUGCUUUUCCUCAUCAUUGAACAUUUUCUUCAAAACUCAAAAUCAACGCCAACAGAAAUUAAAAAAAAAAACAGGGCAAUGCUUCAGAUAAUAAGCGGAGUAAUUUUGUCCACAUUUAUUUCGGUGUGUAGUAUAAGUGAAUGUUGUUUGUAGCAUCAUAUGCGUUGCCCUAUAUGAUAUGAUAUGAUAUAUCACCCAGAAAUCAAAUAAACAGAAAGUAAUUUACAAAUAAAUAAAAUAAAAUAAAAUUUUGAAAAUGGCAUCAGAUAAUAAGCGGAGUUUAUGUCAACACAAACAAUCAGUAUAUCAAUAAGCGGAAAAGAGUAUUCAUCAUUUGCCAUUUGACUCCACCAACAUAAACACAGAAUCGAAAAUCGAAAAUAAAAAAUAAAUCUGCAAAGAUGAAGAAAGUGAGUUUCGGUAGGUCCAUUUGACCCCAAAGCAAUCCUAUGUAUGCAAUGGGCUGGUAAGCCAACCUCUCGCUCUCUGCAUCCGUUAUAGCUCCUCCAGCAUUGAUUUUUUGCAUGGAAGGAGCGGGUAAACAGAUGCACACACAAUCAAAACCUAAAUAAUACCCAAACAGACGCUCAAUAUCUAGAUCCAGCAAGAAGGAAGGCAGGCAAGCAGAAACCAAACAACGAAAUUUGAUUCGGAUUUGUAUUGAAAGCAGGAGAGUGAUUGAGAACUGAGAGGAAUGAAAGGCGUCAAGCAGAGCUUAAAUAGGGGUUUGUGCGAAUUAGGGUUUUUUUCCCUUUUGGGCUUUCAAAUCUGAGAAUUUUCAUGGGCUUUUACAUAGCAAGCCCAAGCUCAAGCCCAGCUUUCAGGCCUGGUUAGUAA